AACGAACGCUGGCGGCGCGCCUAAUACAUGCAAGUCGAGCGAGAAGACGUAGCAAUACGUUUGUAAAGCGGCGAACGGGUGAGGAAUACAUGGGUAACCUACCCUCGAGUGGGGAAUAACUAGCCGAAAGGUUAGCUAAUACCGCGUACGCUCCUUGGACUUCGGUUCAGGGAGGAAAGCGAUACCGUGGGUAUCGCGCUCUUGGAUGGGCUCAUGUCCUAUCAGCUUGUUGGGAGGUACGCUCACCAAGGCUUCGACGGGUAGCUGGUCUGAGAGGACGAUCAGCCACAC
rnacentral:rRNA from 1 species